rnacentral:sRNA from 1 species
AGCGCAGGGGUGCAGGAGGCAGACCUGCAGAUGGCGGGACCCCAGCAGGAGCACCCUGUGAUGAAGGACGGGGCGUCCUGUGCUGGCCAAGGGCAUGGCGUGGGACCCCGCAAGCCUGGGGGCCGGGGAGCAGCCGCCUCUUCCAUGGGGGAGGGCCCUUGUGGGUAUGAACCUGGGGUCCCCAGGGAAGAACCGUGAAGCCGGAGCUGUACUCCACGUGUGUCGGGCACAGGGAGCCCUGUGGGGACACAGGGUCUCCCUUAGACCAAGGCCACCCGGCCACCCAGGCAUGGGCACUGAAGGGGCAGGGCAGGGUCUGACCGUGGCCAAGCCCCGCAGCAGCCUCCUGGAGCAGUGGCCGCUCUUCAGGGGUUCUGGUCCCGCCCUGAGGCAGAGCUGCCCCCUUCCCUGUUAUGUGCAGAUGGCUUCCGGAAAGUGGUCCACAUCGAGCAGGGCGGCCUGGUCAAGCCAGAGAGAGACGACACGGAGUUCCAGCACCCAUGCUUCCUGCGUGGCCAGGAGCAGCUCCUUGAGAACAUCAAGAGGAAAGUGACCAGUGUGUCCACCCUGAAGAGUGAAGACAUAAAGAUCCGCCAGGACAGCGUCACCAAGCUGCUGACGGACGUGCAGCUGAUGAAGGGGAAGCAGGAGUGCAUGGACUCCAAGCUCCUGGCCAUGAAGCAGUAGGUCCCACACCAGCACUGUGGGCCACAGCGGGUCCUGGCGCCCACCAAGAGGCCCCGGGUGCUGUGGGGGCAGGGCCCUGACCGGGGCCAGGUGCUCAGCUCCACCCUCCCGCUCCACGCAGAUCUACCCUGGGCCUCUGCCCCAGCCCCGCCGCCCGUGGCUGAUGCAACAGCUCUGGGGCCAGCCGUUUUCCACGUGCAGAAGGGGGUUGGGAGGGUCCCCUGCUCUGCACAUCCCCAGCGCCCUCUGGGCCAUUGGCUUCUGCCUGGCUCCGAGCUUGGCGGGACCCACCAGCCUACUUUUGAGGACAAGCCUUGCACAGCAGACCCGUCCCACCCGCCUCGGGCCUGGGGUCAGACCCACCUCAGGCCCUUCCUGGAACCGCUGCCCCACACUCGCCUGGGCCCAUGGAGCUAGCCCCCAGCCCCUCCUCACCGGGACCCUGCGGCUCUGGGGAAACCUUAGCAGGAGCCUAACACACAGUGGCACCUGAGAAACUGAAGCAAGCCCACCUCGGAAGGCCAGCUCAGGUCUCACGUCCACUUUGGGGCUCCAGGCAUGCGGGAACCCCAAUGCCAGUACGGCUUCCUCGGCUCCGUGCAGCAGGCGCUCUUGGCCCCCACGUCAUGGAGGAGGCCUUGGCCUCAGACUCUCCUGCAUGGGGUCUACCAGGAGCCACCGGCUUUGUGAUUGCUGGAGUCCGGCCAUGUGGACCUGGCCUACCAAGAAGACUCACAGGCUUGACAGGGCCCAGCCUCCCAGAGAGCAGGAGCGCGGUCAUGGCCCUGCUCACCUGGCUGGGGACAGCUCUUCCCCACCCCUGAGCCACUUCCAGGCCUGGGGCCACCUCUGAGCCACUUCCAGGCCUGGCGAGGGCCCUGAGCACCUACAGGACGUGGGACAGCCAGUGUCGCAGCCUGAAGAACCGUCCUCCCUUAACCUGGCUGCUCAGGCCUUGGAAGGGCGGCCCAAGGGUCUGCUCCUGGCCUGUGUCCAAGGCAGCCCUCCAGGUGUUUGCCAGGAUGGAUGCCAGGAUCCGGGUGCACCUGGCUCGCAUGGAUCCAUCCCCAACACCCUACCUGACACCAGGUGUCCCUGGCAGGGAGGGGCAGUGGGACCAGCAAGCCCUGGCCCUGGCCCCCAGUCCCUCCACACACAAGUUCUCAUCCUGGGGUGGGCCAGGCCAGACAUGGUCACACUUACCCCUGCUCCUGCAUGGGGGACAGGGAGGGUCUGUGGGGCUCCCUCAGCCCUGGGGCUCAUGGGAUUGGGCCCCACUGACCCAGCCUGGUCUGUUGCAGUGAGAAUGAGGCUCUGUGGCGGGAGGUGGCCAGCCUUCGGCAGAAGCAUGCCCAGCAACAGAAAGUCGUCAACAAGGUGGGGGCAGGGCCAGAGGGCCGGCGGGGGCCCCACAAGGGCCGGGGUAACUGUGUCCUCUCUCUCCACAGCUCAUUCAGUUCCUGAUCUCACUGGUGCAGUCAAACCGGAUCCUGGGGGUGAAGAGAAAGAUCCCCCUGAUGCUGAACGACAGUGGCUCAGCACAUUCCAUGCCGAAGUACGGCCGGCAGUUCUCCCUGGAGCACGUCCACGGCUCGGGCCCCUACUCGGCCCCCUCCCCAGCCUACAGCAGCUCCAGCCUCUACGGCCCUGAUGCUGUGGCCAGCUCUGGACCCAUCAUCUCCGACAUCACCGAGCUGGCUCCUGCCAGCCCCGUGGCCUCCCCCGGCGGGAGCAUAGACGAGAGGCCCCUAUCCAGCAGCCCCCUGGUGCGUGUCAAGGAGGAGCCCCCCAGCCCGCCUCAGAGCCCCCGGGUAGAGGAGGCGAGUCCCGGGCGCCCAUCUUCCGUGGACACCCUCUUGUCCCCGACCGCCCUCAUUGACUCCAUCCUGCGGGAGAGUGAACCUGCCCCCGCCUCCGCCACAGCCCUCACGGACGCCAGGGGCCACACAGACACCGAGGGCCGGCCUCCCUCCCCCCCGCCCACCUCCACCCCUGAAAAGUGCCUCAGCGUAGCCUGCCUGGACAAGAAUGAGCUCAGUGACCACUUGGAUGCUAUGGACUCCAACCUGGAUAACCUGCAGACCAUGCUGAGCAGCCACGGCUUCAGCGUGGACACCAGUGCCCUGCUGGACCUGUUCAGCCCCUCGGUGACCGUGCCCGACAUGAGCCUGCCUGACCUUGACAGCAGCCUGGCCAGUGUGCGUAGGCGGGCGGGGGGUGAGGGGGAACGAGACCAGCGGGAGUGCUCACAAUACCGUCUCCACCCCACAGAUCCAAGAGCUCCUGUCUCCCCAGGAGCCCCCCAGGCCUCCCGAGGCAGAGAACAGCAGCCCGGAUUCAGGUGAGCCAAGUCCCACCAGCCCCAUCUCUGCCCCCAACCCCCCACCGCCUUGACACCCCCACCCCCGCAGGGAAGCAGCUGGUGCACUACACAGCGCAGCCGCUGUUCCUGCUGGACCCCGGCUCCGUGGACACCGGGAGCAACGACCUGCCGGUGCUGUUUGAGCUGGGAGAGGGCUCCUACUUCUCCGAAGGGGACGGCUUCGCCGAGGACCCCACCAUCUCCCUGCUGACAAGCUCGGAGCCUCCCAAAGCCAAGGACCCCACUGUCUCCUAGAGGCCCUGGAGGAGCUGGGCCAGCCGCCCACCCCCAGCCCCAGUGCAGGGCUGGUCUUGGGGAGGCAGGGCAGCCUCGCGGUCUUGGGCACUGGUGGGUCGGCCGCCAUAGCCCCAGUAGGACAAACGGGCUCGGGUCUGGGCAGCACCUCUGGUCAGGAGGGUCACCUUGGCCUGCCAGUCUGCCUUCCCCCAACCCCGUGUCCUGUGGUUUGGUUGGGGCUUCACAGCCACACCUGGACUGACCCUGCAGGUUGUUCAUAGUCAGAAUUGUAUUUUGGAUUUUUACACAACUGUCCCGUUCCCCGCUCCACAGAGAUAUACAGAUAUAUACACACAGUGGAUGGACGGACAAGACAGGCAGAGAUCUAUAAACAGGCUCUAUG